CAAAUUCUCCACAGCUUCUCCUCAAAGAUUUGAAGCACUCAUAAAAAGAAAACAAACAAACAAACAAACAAACAACACCCAUAAUUUUGAAACCAUGUCUUUCUCAAAGAAAUUGCCUUUGGUUCUCUUGUUUUCUUCCCUUUUCAUCCAUGCAUCUUUAGGUGAGUUGGUAUGUGAGGAAAUUCACCGGCAAGCUUUGCUCCCCAGCUUGUUACAAGAAUUGCCCUAACAUUGUUGACCUUUUCUUCAACUUGGCUGCUGGAGAGGGAGUGUAUUUGCCAGAGCUAUGUGAGAAGCACAAGACAAACCCACACCGAGUCAUGGUUGAGUUAAUGAGUUCAGGAGUUGCAGCCCCAGGACCUGUUUCUAAUAAUCUCUCUGAAGAUAUUUCAUCAGUAUCUGCUCCUUCUCCACAGUGAUCAUCAUCAUUCUUUUUCACUUUUCUUUUCAAGAGAUGGUGCAUAUUUUAAUGGGUUGGAUUCGGAUUUAAACAUUGGUGUUGAUAUAGAAUUUAGCAUAUAUAACUAGUUAUAUAUUUAUUAUCUAAAUUUGUCAAAUUUUGAAAAUAUUGUUAGUCCUCUUUUUGAGAGAGAUGAUAUGAACUUUAAUACAAUAAGAAAAGUGCUGUUCUCGGUACUAGAUACAAA